rnacentral:lncRNA from 1 species
GCCUCAGAACUUGCAGCUUUAAUUCAGACAAAGAGGAAGUUUGAUUGUAGAGCUACUUAUAUCUAAACCAUCGAAGAAGGAAUUAACAUACACACUCAUGCAGCCAAAGACUUCUGGAAGCUUCUGGGUGGCCAAACCAGUUACCAGUCUGCUGGAGACCCAAAAGAAGAUGAACUCUAUGAAGCAGCCAUAAUAGAAACUAACUGCAUUUACCGUCUCAUGGAUGACAAACUUGUUCCUGAUGAUGACUACUGGGGGAAAAUUCCAAAGUGCUCCCUUCUGCAACCCAAAGAGGUACUGGUGUUCGAUUUUGGUAGUGAAGUUUACGUAUGGCAUGGGAAAGAAAUCACAUUAGCACAACGAAAAAUAGCAUUUCAGCUGGCAAAGCACUUAUGGAAUGGAACCUUUGACUAUGAGAACUGUGACAUCAAUCCCCUGGAUCCUGGAGAAUGCAAUCCGCUUAUCCCCAGAAAAGGACAGGGGCGGCCCGACUGGGCGCUAUUUGGGAGACCUACUGGAACACAAUGAAACAUUUUGUUCAAGAGAAGUUUCUGGAUUGGACGGAACUGAAGAGAGAGAAUGAGAAGAACCCCAGGGAACUUGCCCAGACAAGGUAUUCCAGGACCAAGUCUCAAACCUCAGGGCUUGGUUCGGGUCCAACAAACGUGCCCCUUGAUGUAAAUGAUCAAAUCAGGAUAGUUUGUGUGGUCAUCACCUCAGAUGUAUCAUUUUCUUUUGUGGUGAGAACCAUUCAGAUCUUCUCUUCUAGCUCUUUUGAAAAGCAAUACAGUAUUGGAAAACAGUCACCCCACUGUGCAGGAAAAACCAGAGCUCAUUCCUCCUCUCUCGUUGUCAAUUUUAUACCCAUUGGCCCAACAUCUCCCUAAUCCUCCCUCUCCCUCCUCCUUCCCACACCCCUUCCCAAUAAAACAGAUGCGUGUAUCAACACCAUCAAAUCAUACUCAUAAUAAAUGUGUCAACUAAAAUACUUUUUAAUUAAAAAAACCAUGGACACACACACACACACACACACACACACACACACACACACCACCCCUUAAAGCUAAGAGCCUUCCCAGGAUUCACUGGUAGAACAGCAGACAGGCCUCCAAAUUCUAAUCUGACUCCGGGAGGUGAAGAGCUGGUUUGCACCUGUUCUCGGGCAUCCAUGCGCUGUUUGUGGCAAUGGGUGUUCCAGACCUCUCAGAGUCUUUCUGGAAAUGCAGCCUUUCCUGACUGC